GUGAGGAAUUUUCCGCAAUGGACGCAAGUCUGACGGAGCAACGCCGCGUGCAGGAAGACGCUUUUCGGAGUGUAAACUGCUUUUCUGUGGGACGAGGAUGGACGGUACCACAGGAAGAAGCCCCGGCUAACUACGUGCCAGCAGCCGCGGUAAUACGUAGGGGGCGAGCGUUGUCCGGAGUUACUGGGCGUAAAGGGCAUGCAGGCGGUCGGACGCGUUUCGGGUGACAGCGGGUGGCUUAACUACCCGAGUGGUCGAAAGACGGUUUGACUUGAGGACGCGAGAGGGACACGGAAUUCCGGGUGGAGUGGUGAAAUGCGUAGAGAUCCGGAGGAACACCGAAGGCGAAGGCAGUGUCCUGGCGCGUAACUGACGCUGAGGUGCGAAAGCCAGGGGAGCGAACGGGAUUAGAAACCCUGGUAGUCC
rnacentral:rRNA from 1 species